CCUACGGGGCGCAGCAGUGGGGAAUAUUGCACAAUGGGGGAAACCCUGAUGCAGCGACGCCGCGUGAGUGAAGAAGUAUUUCGGUACGUAAAGCUCUAUCAGCAGGGAAGAAAAUGACUGUACCUGACUAAGAAGCCCCGGCUAACUACGUGCCAGCAGCCGCGGUAAUACGUAGGGGGCAAGCGUUAUCCGGAUUUACUGGGUGUAAAGGGAGCGUAGACGGCAGCGCAAGUCUGGAGUGAAAUCCCAUGGCUUAACCAUGGAACUGCUUUGGAAACUGUGCAGCUAGAGUGCAGGAGAGGUAAGCGGAAUUCCUAGUGUAGCGGUGAAAUGCGUAGAUAUUAGGAGGAACACCAGUGGCGAAGGCGGCUUACUGGACUGUAACUGACGUUGAGGCUCGAAAGCGUGGGGAGCAAACAGGAUUAGAUACCCCAGUAGUC
rnacentral:rRNA from 1 species